rnacentral:rRNA from 1 species
UCGAGCAACGCCGCGUGAAUGAUGAAGUACUUCGGUAUGUAAAAUUCUUUUAUUGAAGAAGAAAAAAUAGUGGGAAAAACUAUAUUGACGUUAUUCAAUGAAUAAGCCCCGGCUAACUAUGUGCCAGCAGCCGCGGAUAAUACAUAGGGGGCGAGCGUUAUCCGGAAUUAUUGGGCGUAAAGGGUGCGUAGGCGGUUUGAUAAGUCUCUAGUUUAAUUUCAGCGCUUAACGCUGUCCUGCUAGAGAAACUGUCUUACUAGAGUGAGAUAGAGGCAAGCGGAAUACCAUGCGUAGCAGUCAAAUGUGUAAAUAUGUGGAGGAACACCAGAGCCGUA